rnacentral:rRNA from 1 species
AUACGGAGGGAGCAAGCGUUAUUCGGAAUCACUGGGCGUAAAGGACGCGUAGGCGGGUUUGUAAGUCAGGUGUGAAAUCCUACAGCUCAACUGUAGAACUGCACUUGAAACUACAGACCUAGAGUAUGGAAGGGACAGAUGGAAUUAGUGGUGUAGGGGUAAAAUCCGUAGAUAUCACUAGGAAUACCGAAAGCGAAGGCGAUCUGCUGGGACAUUACUGACGCUGAGGCGUGAAAGCGUGGGGAGCAAACAGGAUUAGAUACCCUAGUAGUCC